CGUAAGUACAAUCAUUAGUUUCCACACCUAACUUUAAUCGUUUGUCUUAUUUGAAAAUUUUUCGUAAUUAGUAUUUUUAUUGUUAUGAGAUAAUAAAAUAUGAAUAGUACUUUAUACGUGACUUAUAUUUUUAAUUUUUUUUAAAAAAAUUAAAUAAGAUAAACGGUUAAAAUCAGGCAUGAGUUUAUGGAUGUGAAUAAU
rfam:Oryza glaberrima chromosome 5 Oglab05_0009_20, whole genome shotgun sequence.